GACGAACGCUGGCGGCGUGCUUAACACAUGCAAGUCGAACGGAUAGGCCCUGCUUUUGUGGGGUGCUCGAGUGGCGAACGGGUGAGUAACACGUGAGUAACCUGCCCUUGACUUUGGGAUAACUUCAGGAAACUGGGGCUAAUACCGGAUAGGAGCUCCUGCUGCAUGGUGGGGGUUGGAAAGUUUCGGCGGUUGGGGAUGGACUCGCGGCUUAUCAGCUUGUUGGUGGGGUAGUGGCUUACCAAGGCUUUGACGGGUAGCCGGCCUGAGAGGGUGACCGGCCACAUUGGGACUGAGAGACGGCCCAGACUCCUACGGGAGGCAGCAGUGGGGAAUAUUGCACAAUGGGCGGAAGCCUGAUGCAGCAACGCCGCGUGCGGGAUGACGGCCUUCGGGUUGUAAACCGCUUUCGCCUGUGACGAAGCGUGAGUGACGGUAAUGGGUAAAGAAGCACCGGCUAACUACGUG
rnacentral:rRNA from 1 species